rnacentral:snRNA from 1 species
CUAUUUACCUGGCAGGGGAGAUACCAUGACCACAAAGAUGGUUUUCCCAGGGUGAGGCUUAUCCAUUGCGCCCCUGAUGUGCUCACCUCUGAGAUGUCCCCAAAUGUGGGAAAAUCGACAGCAUAAUUUGUGGUAGAGGGGGAUUGCAUUAACACNNN